UACGAAGGGGGCUAGCGUUGCUCGGAAUCACUGGGCGUAAAGCGCACGUAGGCGGAUUGUUAAGUCAGGGGUGAAAUCCUGGAGCUCAACUCCAGAACUGCCUUUGAUACUGGCGAUCUUGAGUCCGGGAGAGGUGAGUGGAACUCCGAGUGUAGAGGUGAAAUUCGUAGAUAUUCGGAAGAACACCAGUGGCGAAGGCGGCUCACUGGCCCGGUACUGACGCUGAGGCGCGAAAGCGUGGGGAGCGAACAGG
rnacentral:rRNA from 1 species